rnacentral:tRNA from 1 species
CGGGGCGUGGCGCAGCUUGGUAGCGCGCCUGCUUUGGGAGCAGGAAGUCGGGAGUUCAAAUCUCCCCGCCCCGACCA